rnacentral:tRNA from 2 species
GGGGGUGUAGCUCAGUUGGCUAGAGCGCCUGAAUGGCAUUCACGAGGUCAGGGGUUCAAUUCCCCUCACCUCCA